UACGUAGGUGGCAAGCGUUGUCCGGAUUUACUGGGCGUAAAGAGCGCGCAGGCGGUCGUUCAAGUCGCGUGUGAAAGCCCCCGGCUCAACUGGGGAGGGUCACGCGAUACUGAUCGACUCGAAGGCAGGAGAGGGUAGUGGAAUUCCCGGUGUAGUGGUGAAAUGCGUAAAUAUCGGGAGGAACACCAGUGGCGAAGGCGACUACCUGGCCUGUUCUUGACGCUGAGGCGCGAAAGCUAGGGGAGCAAACGGG
rnacentral:rRNA from 1 species